rnacentral:tRNA from 1 species
UCCAGGGUAGCCUAGUGGACUUGGCACCUGCCCGGUAAGCAGAAGGUUGUGGGUUCGAUUCCCGCCCCUGGAC